rnacentral:rRNA from 1 species
UAACGCGUGGGGAACCUGCCUUGAAGAGGGGGACAACAGUUGGAAACGACUGCUAAUACCGCAUGACGCAUAGAGGCCGCAUGAUCUUUAUGCCAAAGAUUUAUCGCUUCAAGAUGGCCUCGCGUCUGAUUAGCUAGUUGGCGGGGUAACGGCCCACCAAGGCGACGAUCAGUAGCCGGACUGAGAGGUUGAACGGCCACAUUGGGACUGAGAUACGGCCCAG